GGUUGUGGCUCAGUGGUAGAGUGUUCACCUAGCGCGAAUGAGGCACUGGGUUCGAUCCUCAGCACCA
rnacentral:tRNA from 1 species